GACAGAGGGUGCAAGCGUUAUCCGGAUUCACUGGGUUUAAAGGGUGCGUAGGCGAGUAGGUAAGUCAGUGGUGAAAUCUUCGAGCUUAACUCGGAAACUGCCUUUGAUACUAUCUAUCUUGAAUAUUGUGGAGGUAAGCGGAAUAUGUCAUGUAGCGGUGAAAUGCUUAGAUAUGACAUAGAACACCUAUUGCGAAGGCAGCUUACUACGCAUAUAUUGACGCUGAGGCACGAAAGCGUGGGGAUCAAACAGG
rnacentral:rRNA from 1 species